rnacentral:rRNA from 1 species
AGCGAACGCUGGCGGCAGGCCUAACACAUGCAAGUCGAACGGAUCCUUCGGGAUUAGUGGCGGACGGGUGAGUAACACGUGGGAACGUGCCCUUUGGUUCGGAACAACUCAGGGAAACUUGAGCUAAUACCGGAUGUGCCCUUCGGGGGAAAGAUUUAUCGCCAUUGGAGCGGCCCGCGUCUGAUUAGCUAGUUGGUGAGGUAAAGGCUCACCAAGGCGACGAUCAGUAGCUGGUCUGAGAGGAUGAUCAGCCACAUUGGGACUGAGACACGGCCCAAACUCCUACGGGAGGCAGCAGUGGGGAAUCUUGCGCAAUGGGCGAAAGCCUGACGCAGCCAUGCCGCGUGAAUGAUGAAGGUCUUAGGAUUGUAAAAUUCUUUCGCCGGGGACGAUAAUGACGGUACCCGGAGAAGAAGCCCCGGCUAACUUCGUGCCAGCCGCCGCGGUAAUAC